rnacentral:rRNA from 1 species
UAGAGUUUGAUCCUGGCUCAGAACGAACGCUGGCGGCGUGCUUAACACAUGCAAGUCGAGUGCGCGGUUGUAGCAAUACAACUGGCGCACGGCGCACGGGUGCGUAACACGUGGGCAAUCUGCCCUCCGAUGGGGAAUAACUCCGGGAAACCGAAGCUAAUUCCGCAUAACAUUCCCUGGACUCCGGUUCGGGGAUUCAAAGCAGUAAUGCGUCGGAGGAGGAGCCCGCGCCCUAUUAGCUAGUUGGUGAGGUAACGGCUCACCAAGGCUAUGAUCGGUAGCUGGUCUGAGAGGAUGGCCAGCCACACUGGAACUGAGACACGGUCCAGACUCCUACGGGAGGCAGCAGUGGGGAAUCUUGCGCAAUGGGCGAAAGCCUGACGCACCGACGCCGCGUGGGGGAUGAAGCUUCUCGGAGUGUAAACCCCUUUCGACCGGGACGAAUGCCCGCAAGGGAGUGACGGUACCGGUAGAAGAAGCCCCGGCUAACUACGUGCCAGCAGCCGCGGUAAGACGUAUGGGGCCAGCGUUGUUCGGAAUUACUGGGUGUAAAGGGUUCGUAGGCGGUGCGGCAAGUCGGGAGUGAAAUUUCUGGGCUUAACUCAGAACCUGCUUCCUAAACUGCUGUGCUCGAGUGUGGGAGAGGCGCGUGGAAUUGCAGGUGUAGCGGUGAAAUGCGUAGAUAUCUGCAGGAACACCGUGGCGAAAGUGCGCGCUGGACCACUACUGACGCUGAUGAAGUAAGCUAGUGGAGCAACAUGAUCAGAUACACUGGUAGUCCUACCCCUAAACGAUCACGACGUUGGGUGGUCCAACCGUUCGGUGUCGUC